AAUCCAUGAUGAGGACACAUUCUAAAAAGAUCCUUAAACCUCUCUCAUACAUCAUACAAUGUCUUCAACUUAAAUUGAGCAAAAGAAGAGAUGUCAUUCCUCAACUU
rfam:Gossypium arboreum cultivar AKA8401 contig_19648_9, whole genome shotgun sequence.